CAGAAAUCAACUCAUUUCCGAUUAAUGGGGUUAGAUUAGAAUUGUUAGAAAGACGUUUAAUUAAUAUUCAGUUUUGGAAGUUAUCCACAGUAUUUUUGAAAAUUGUGCCUCCUUUUCUCGAACCCAUUUAAUGGAAAUUUCCAAUUGAUAAUUAUUUGUUCUCUUCUCAAUCAAAAUAACAAGUUAUUUAAUAAUAUGCUAGAUAUGGAUGAACCAAGUAAGAAAAAACAUAAGAAAGAGCAUAAACAUAAACACAAAAAGCAUAGUUCAGAAAAGUCUGAUAGUAGUAAAAAGCAUAAGAAACAUAAGAAAAGCAAAAGCAAACAUAGCGACUCCAAAACGAAAAGUGACACAAGUACAGCUAAUGAAAGGUAUACUCCCGAGGUUUCCCCUAAAAAGGCUUUAGAUGUUGAAGAAGAUAAAAAUAUGUCUAGUGUAGAGUGUGACUUGCAGACAGAGUUAAAUCCUAAUGAUGUUGUAAAAGAUAUAUCUCAAGGACUUGUAGGUACACACUCGCUUGAAAUAAUUUCUUCUGAAAGCGAAGAAAUGCCUGAAGUAGAUUGUGAUAGUGAUGCUAUAGAUGUGGAUGUUAUUGAAGCUGAUAUGGAUUUGGAGGAAUUGAUGAAACAGAAGGAAUUACUUCAAUUAGAAAUUGCUAGAGCUGAAUUGGAAAACAAUGGUAAAAAGGUCAGUAAAGUUGUUGUAGAUGAAAUAAUUUUAUUGGAUGAUUCAAGUAAUGAGGCUCCAGCUAGUUUUGAGAAUAGCAAAAGAAAGCUUUCAAUUAGUAGAGAAAGAAAGGACACGAAAAUUCCUAAAUUAACGUCUGAUAGGAAAAGAAGUGAUCGUUCUUCUAGUAGAGAAAGAGCAAAGAGAAAUCAUAGGGACAAAUUAUUUAGAGAUAGAAAAUCAGAUUUAGAUAGAAGUAGAGACAGAAGAAGUGAAGAUAGACAAAGAAAAGGAAUUGAAUCUAGAAGAUCUACUGAUAGAUAUUCUAGAGAAAGGUCAAAUGCUCAUGAACAUGAUCGUCAUAGAUAUGAAGAUCAUAGAUUCAGGAAUAGAAGAUUAGAUGACAUGAGAUAUUCAAAGGAAAGACCUAGAAGUAACAAUUUAUAUUCACGGAAUGGAUAUGAUAAAUCUAGGGAUCGACAUGAUAGAUAUCACCAUAAAACCCAGAGAUCAGAGAAACAAGAUAAAUUCAAAGAUUCUUUGAGUGAAGGAAUGAAAAACAAACAAAGUGAAAGCAGUGAUUCAGAGAUUAAUGUUGAUUUCAAUGAAGAUGAAGAAGACGAGGAACAAAUCAUUGAAAAACGAAGAAAACAAAGAGAGGAGCUCCUAAAAAGACUUGAAGGCAACACUCAAUCUAAUGAAGAUUCAAAUACCAAUUUUUCUGAACCAUCUUCACCACAAUCAAAGAUCAAAGAAAAUUUUGAUUCUGCUCCUAGUGAAAAUGCAGAACCAGAACAAGACAGUCAUAAGUCCAAUGAUGAAGGAAAUCAAAUUAGUAUACACAGUGAAGAGUCACUCACUCCUCCUUUGUUGCCUAAUAUGAAAGUUAAAAAUAUGGAAAAGAAAGAUGUUAAACCUAUCAAACAAAGUAAUUGGGAUAUGUUUGCUGAGCAGGACAGCUAUAAAGCAAAUUCUUCACCUAGUACUAUAAUCGCUAAAGGUUCUGGUGCAGAAAAUCCUGCUCUAACAGAUAAUUGGGAUGAUGCUGAAGGCUACUAUAGAGUAAGAAUUGGUGAAAUUCUUGAUAGUCGUUAUAUGGUUUAUGGCUAUACUGGCCAGGGAGUUUUCAGUAAUGUAAUUAGAGCCAGAGAUCAAGCAAGAAGUAACCAGGAUGUUGCAGUGAAAAUAAUAAGAAAUAAUGAAAUUAUGCACAAAACUGGAUUGAAAGAAUUGGAGAUAUUGAAAAAACUAAACGAUGCAGAUCCAGAAGAUAAAUUACAUUGUUUGAGGUUGAUAAGACAUUUUUUCCAUAAACAACAUUUAUGCAUGGUUUUUGAGCCAUUGGCUAUGAAUCUUAGGGAAGUUCUCAAGAAAUAUGGAAAAGAUGUUGGUUUACAUGUGAAAGCAGUGAGAAGUUAUACUCAGCAGUUAUUGCUAGCAUUGAAAUUAUUGAAGAAGACGGGUAUCUUACAUGCAGAUAUAAAACCGGAUAAUAUAUUGGUAAAUGAUAGCAAAUUGGUUUUGAAAUUGUGUGAUUUUGGUUCAGCUUCAUAUAUAAACGAUAAUGAUAUUACUCCAUAUCUAGUAUCAAGAUUUUAUCGAGCUCCUGAGAUAAUUCUAGGAAUACCUUAUGAUUAUGCUAUUGACAUGUGGUCUGCGGCCUGCACCAUAUAUGAACUUUACACUGGAAAAAUAUUAUUCUCUGGAAAAUCUAACAAUCAAAUGUUGAAAUUCUUUAUGGAUGUGAAAGGCAAAUUCCCCAAUAAAGUAAUUAGGAAAGGGGCUUUCAAAGAGCAGCAUUUUGAUUCUAAUUGUAAUUUUCUCUACCAUGAAAUUGAUAAGGUCACUGAGAGGGAAAAAAUUGUAGUUUUGUCUGUUAACAAAAUGACAAGGGAUCUACAAUCUGAGCUAGUAAGUAGCCAAGUAUUGCCAGCUGACCAACUACGAAAAGUAACCCAGCUUAAGGAUCUGCUAGAAAAGGCAUUGGCCAUAGAUCCAGUGAAACGAAUAAGCCUCAACAAUGCUCUCACACAUCCAUUUAUCCAGGACAAGAUUUGAGAUCAGGUUUGGAGAGAAUGAAUUUCACUUGGUGCAAAUACCAUGUUAAAUCAAAAAAUUGGAGAGUAUUAUUAAGAAACCUCGGAAUUUUGAAAGUUUUGAGAAUUUGAAGAGGUCUUCGGAAAGGAGAAAUUGAUCCAGACAGAAGUGAAAAAGUCGCAAAUCAAUUUGAUUAGGUAGGAGAAUUUAAAAUUAGUAGAAACUGACAAAACUGAACUGAAGCAGAACACCAUUUUUCGUAAUACUUAUAUCAAUUAUUGAAACUUGAUGUAGUUAUACAGGAUGUUCAGCGGAAAGUUGAACUUACGAAAAGGUAGGUAGAGUCAUCUGCUAUCUACUCAGCCCCAAAGAUUUUAUCUAGGCCUGAAGAAUUUUUUCUUAAUGCUACAAGAAGUUGUGCCUUAAAAUUUUCGCUAACUCUUUUCAUGAAAUUUUUUUUUAUUUAAACUUAAUGGUUGCAUAGAAACGAAGUUAUGGACCCACUAAUUAUAACAAAAAAUUUCAAAAUGAACUUCACAUUGCUUUCAAAAUUCCAAAAAUAAAAAAAAGUGUAGGAUACACAAAUUCUUGGGGUCUAGGUCAAAUCUUUGUGGCUGAGUAGGUAGCUGACGAUCCCACCUACCUCCCAUUUUUGUAUGUUCAAUGUUCUGCCGAACACCUUGUAUAUGAUUGAAAACAGUAUUACUAUUGCUCUUUCUUUCAGCUAGUUUGGAGGUUGGAGAUAAAUUCUUUGGGGUCUAAAAAAUAGAGUAGAUUUUUUAAUUACAAGUGCACUAGACUAUUUCAGUGGAGAUUGGCUUGUUACCUACCCAAAUAUGGUUGGAUAUUUUCAAUAUGCGGAAUUGCUUAAUGAAUAACAGAAAACUUAUCAAGACAAGUUGAAAUAUCAUUCAAAGAUUCACAGAUUUUUUUGAAAGGUAAAUAAUUUUUCAAAAUGCCCGUUCUGGAAUAACAAAUCUUAUGGAUCGUCAAAUUGUUUUUUAUAUAACUAAAUCCUAAUCUUUGAAAUUACUGAAAAAAUAAAUUGGGGAUAUUUAAAUAACGUACAAUGGGAAUAUAUUUCUUUUUUUACACAAAUAUCUAUUUAUAUUUGAAACUAGUCGAAUGACUAUGAUUUCUUUUGAAAUCCCCCAGUUAUCUAAGAACUUACCACUCUAAGACUAUAAUUAUUUGAUCAAGUACAUAAACUGUUGUCCAAUAAAUUAUGAAUCAAUUGCUCUCCGAUAGUAGGUAGCCUCUUCCACCUGUAUGGCAGAUCAAUUAUCGUUUUUGCGGAGUUUCUGGUCGUUAGGUUAUGCACGUGGAGGAAAUAGAAAAGUAAUUCAAGCAUAAUUAGUUUGAAUAAAAUUUCCUCAUCAGUUAUUAAAACAUUUGACAUUUUCAGUUACACCCUUUGACUUCACAUCAUAUACAAUGAGUAUUUUUUGCACAAUUUCUACACACUUUUCUGGUGAUUUCACUGUUUGCACAAGGGGUCUGACGUUAUCUUUAGGUAAAUGCGCCUAAUGAUAUUUUUUAUUUAUGAAAAUAUUAAAAAUAUUAGAGUACACAAAUGUACAAGAACGUAAAGUAUUAUAGUUUUGGUUUAUUAAUCUGAUUAACCAAACUCUAAAAUGAAGAAUAUUUUUCAGUAUCUCUUAAAAUUUUCUUAGUUCAUGUUUGGGGAGUUGACUCUUAAAAUAAAAAACAUUUCAUAUUUUG